rnacentral:rRNA from 1 species
GAUGAACGCUGGCGGCGUGCCUAAUACAUGCAAGUCGAGCGAACAGACGAGGAGCUUGCUCCUCUGACGUUAGCGGCGGACGGGUGAGUAACACGUGGAUAACCUACCUAUAAGACUGGGAUAACUUCGGGAAACCGGAGCUAAUACCGGAUAAUAUAUUGAACCGCAUGGUUCAAUAGUGAAAGACGGUUUUGCUGUCACUUAUAGAUGGAUCCGCGCCGCAUUAGCUAGUUGGUAAGGUAACGGCUUACCAAGGCAACGAUGCGUAGCCGACCUGAGAGGGUGGUCGGCCACACUGGAGCUGAGACACGGUCCAGACUCCUACGGGAGGCAGCAGUAGGGAAUCUUCCGCAAUGGGCGGAAGCCUGACGGAGCAACGCCGCGUGAGUGAUGAAAGUCUUCGGAUCGUAAAACUCUGUUAUUAGGGAAGAACAAAUGUGUAAGUAACUAUGCACGUCUUGACGGUACCUAAUCAGAAAGCCACGGCUAACUACGUG